GCCUGGGUGGCUCAGUAGGUUGAGCGACUGGCUUCAGCUCAGGUCACGAUCUCACGGUUUGUGGGUUCGAGCCCCGCGUCAGGCU
rnacentral:tRNA from 1 species